CCUACGGGUGGCUGCAGUGGGGAAUAUUGGACAAUGGGCGCAAGCCUGAUCCAGCCAUGCCGCGUGGGUGAAGAAGGCCUUCGGGUUGUAAAGCCCUUUUGUCCGGAAAGAAAAGCUCGAGGUUAAUACCUUCGGGUCCUGACGGUACCGGAAGAAUAAGCACCGGCUAACUUCGUGCCAGCAGCCGCGGUAAUACGAAGGGUGCAAGCGUUACUCGGAAUUACUGGGCGUAAAGCGUUCGGAGGGAUGUGAAAGCCCUGGGCUCAACCUGGGAAUUGCAUUGGAUACUGGCGGGCUUGAGUGCGGUAGAGGAGGGCGGAAUUCCCGGUGUAGCAGUGAAAUGCGUAGAGAUCGGGAGGAACAUCUGUGGCGAAGGCGGCCAUCUGGACCAGCACUGACGCUGAGGCACGAAAGCGUGGGGAGCAAACAGGAUUAGAUACCCGUGUAGUC
rnacentral:rRNA from 1 species